rnacentral:lncRNA from 1 species
ACUUGAUGUUGCAGUCAGUUUUUGUUUAUGGAUAUAUAGGAAGUGUUCAAAUUAUAUGUUCUGGUUUUCAUAUAAUGUAUGAACCUUAUCUUGAUUUUAAAAUUUGCUUUAUAUGAUAUAUUAUACUUUAAACUGCUUUCACUUAAUUCAAAUAAUGAAGAGGAGUGGGGUUUAUAAAAUUCCAGUUGAGAAUGCCAGCACCAACCAAAGAUCAGCAUAUAUAGAAGUAACAAAACAGACGAUAGCUCAAAGACUGGAUGAGCACAACCAUGACGUAUCCAAUGGAAAACAUUCAACUGCAUUGUCUGUCGAAGUAUAUGCAGAUAAACUGGAAACAAUCAAGAAUUAUUAGACCAGUAAAUAUCCCUAACCAAGCUCUGAUUAUAGAGGCAUUAAAAAUUAUGGUAAGACAGAAGGUAGAGAACUCUUAAAUGAAAAAUCUUCCCAACAAUUUUCCUCAGUAUGGUUAUAUGCUAUCAAAAAAAAAUGAGAUGCCUGACCCCCAGGUAGCAUUAUACAUAAGUUAAAUAAAAAAACCCAUUCUAAUGAUAAUCCUUGCUGGAUUAUUAGUAUGC